AGAUUUCUCAACAGUGAUGUCACAAGAUUGACCGCACUGAUCACAAUUCAGAAUGAGAUGCUCUUCCAGAAGUUCAAGUAUCAGAUCUGAAUGUUCUGGUCAUCCACCAAUAUCUGAUAUGGAGUCUGGAGAAAGGUUACCAUCCUCAACAACCUCCUCUACUACACCAACUUCAUCUUCUAUACCUUCUGUGGCUUCAUCAGUUUCAAAAGGCGGCCUUUCCACUGGAGCUGCUUCACUUAGCUCUACAAUCAACCCAUGUGG
rnacentral:lncRNA from 1 species